rnacentral:rRNA from 2 species
GUGAAUCAUCGAAUCUUUGAACGCACAUUGCACUCCUUGGUUUCCGAGGAGUAUGCCUGUUUCAGUAUCAUGAGCACUCUCACACCCAAGCUUUGGGUUUUGUUGUGGAAUUGGGAUGCGACGAUUUCCAUAGUCGGCACUCCUAAAAUGUAGUUCUUGGCUGUUUCCUACUACCGCAUGUUGGCCUAACACUUUUGACUUUUGACCAAUCUUUGGCUACCUUUGCUUCUGGAAAUCAUUCUUGAUAAGUACACAAGACUCAGUCAGACUUUGAUCUGAAAUCAGGUAGGGCUACCCGCUAAACUUAAACAUAUCAAUAAACGGAGGAAAAGA